AGGAAAGACAUGCAGAGCCGAUCAAUAGCACCGAUAGCAGAGCCCUUGCUUGCAUCUUUCGACCCCACCCAAAACUUUGACCUUAAAGUCGCCCCAUCAGUGAGAAGGAAUUCAUUCCCUUACUCUCUUGUUUAUGUCUGGCAUAAAAGUGCAAAACGCAGAAUCAUAUAUCGCCUUAGCGCCGCCACUUUCUUUCUCAAAAACAUGAACGAGGCAGCAUUUGGCUCUGGCCAGCCUUUCAUCCAAAACCUCUUACCCAUAUUCCCCUGCUUUGGCUUGUAAAGAGCUCAACUGAUCCGAGGCGCAUUCAGGACUUGGGCUCACUGGGCGCAUUCCAUUGAAAAGCUCAUAGGGCUCGCUCGUCCUUAGGAAGAGGUGCGCAAGAAAAGACAGAAGAAACCCCUUGUCCGAGUCUAAAGGGAUGAUGACGUGAAGAAGGUAGCUUAGUGCUGGUGAGAAUCGAAUUACGCUGCUCUCAGUUCAUCAGCACUCAUCUAUCGUUCUAUAAGCAAACAAUGAAUUGAAUGGGAUCAAGAUAACCGAACCAAGACAAGAGUAUUAGAUUAUUAAAGAGAUUUAUUGACCAGGGCGCCUACAAGGGAUGAAUUCGAAUUAGUUGAGGGUAGUUUAUUAGUAGACCACCUAAACGAAACUCCACCGAUAGAAUAACAAUAGGUACGGCUGGGCUGUAGUCAUCCAUUCCUUGGGAUGAAUGUGGUGAAGACAAGAAAUACUUUUGAUAGUCCGCACAGAGCAGAAAGAAUGUAGUCACUUUAUUAAACCACCUUAUCGAGUAUAUAUUUCGAUAGAGUUUAGACUAAUCUGACAACGAUCUUACCUCUUUCGUCGAGUGCGCGAUCAUGACACCACGUCCUAUUCCUAUUGACGAGAUUUCUCUUAGCUCUCUAGCUGAGGUCACACAAAAUAGAUUCUACAAUAUCCUUUUAGUGAAAAAGAAAGUUCCAAAAGAGCUGAUAAACGAGUUAGUGAUUUAGAACACGAGCCCUUGAACCUAAUCCGAGAGUGUACGGAAGGUAGCUCGACCAACUCCUCUAAAUAGAAAGCAAGAAGAGAUUAACUUAGAACUUUGAAGAAAGCUUAAACACUCUUGACCAAGCGCUUAGUUAUGAUGCUGAAGAGCUGUGCGAGUAGAGCGUAAAGUAGGCUAGGCUAGGUCUUGUCGACAGAUGAUGCAUGGGUCGGUAGUAGAGAACCAGCAGAAAGGGAGGAGCUGGUAUACUUGGGUCAUCGGCUUAUCCGAGUCAAGAUAGAAAAAGAGAAGAGUCAAUCAUCCGUAAGGGAAGUAUAUUAAUGAGGAAAGAAUAAAGGACCUCUGCAUGACCAACUAGAACUACCUUUGCACUAAAGAUUCAUUAAGAAGUACUCCCGCUUGAUUUGACUCGGGCCGAAAGAAAGGCCAUAGCGUGCGUUGCGUUACAGGCACUAAAGGAUAAUGUCUACGAAGGACCUGUUCCGCCCAUGCAUGCCAGACGUUAAGAAGCCCUUAGAAAUCGAUCGACGCUUCUGCUCCUUUGGAACCAACCGCAAGAAGGUUGAGUAGUCGCAUACCACAGUGAGAUCUUCAAUCCAUACAUCUUCCACUAUCCCACCUACGUAUGAGAAGGCUGUAAAAGACUGGAGGCUUGCUCGGGAGGUAGGCGCUUGACGAAUAGGCCUCAAAGAAGGAAAGCCCCUUUUCACCUAUUUACGGAAGGAGUAAAAGCUUAUGAAGGCGCAUCAUAUAAUGUCACUUUCACUUCCUGCAAUGGUUCGACUUGGUGAUCAAGUAAAAGAAAAUAAGGUUGUGCCCGCCUUAUUAGUAAAGCGCUGCUUUCUACCACUUUAUUGGACUUCGGGGACUUAAUGACCGGCGGAGUAGUAAGAAGGACUAAAGUACGUCCGGGAGAGGCCCGACUGCAGACAGCAGAUGGCUAGGGCCGCCGACUGACUCUAGAAAGACGGUCGGGUCGGACAAAGAAAGGCUUCUCGUGAGGCCAGAGUUUGAUUAGACUUGGAAGUUGAGAAAAGUGUGCUCACCUGUAAAAGGAAUGAAUUCUUAUUGGCCCUUCCUUUGAUACUUAAACAAAGACUCCUGUCUCUUUGUCUUCAACUCAGAAGAGAGAAUCCAACUACUGUAGAAUAGGCUUACGCUCCUUACUUUCAUUCCGUAGCUACUGAUCCCAAGGUCUACUACCCUUACCCUCAUUCUCUUGUAGUUCAAUUGUUAGGCUUUAGUCUUUGCGUAGUAUUUGAAACUGACCUUCCAUUCCUUGCUGUUAGCCUGCCCCCUUGAACACACAUUUCUUAUUUAUAACCUAUGAGCCUGCUCGCCUUGCCUGCAUUCCCAUAC
rnacentral:lncRNA from 1 species